AAGAUUAAAGAUUACAGACUAAUAGGAAGAAGGUGGAUGAGGACAUACUGAAAACCUCUUUACCUAUUUUUCCUGAACAAGUGUGGUUAGGUUAGAUUUACCACAAUUUCUUAAGAUUCUACCUUCAGAGUUUCAAAAUGUGGGUUGCCGUGUGAACCAAAGGAAGAAUUCUGUAAAGUUCCUUGUAACAUUCCCAUACUCUCUCAUGGACUCUUUGACACAGGUUCUCCCUAUGUGUUCUCCUGACAUAACAAAGGUGAUAGAGCAAAUGACUCAUAUAAUUCAGAUAGAAGCAAUGCAGACCAAGGAGCAAAGAUAAUGAUGUUCAAGACUCAGAUUCUAUUCUGUUAAAGGCAACAAAUUAUUGGGACGUCACUGGAGCUACACAAAGGAGUGCUAUGCAAGACAGGUCUCCAGAAAUCCUCUGCCUGCUAUCUCAUACGGAUGCAGUUUGAGCAGAACAGAGCACUUGAGAGUUUUGGCAAACAAGCUUAGACUUUAUUCAUGUGGAUUACACCUCACUCUAUGACUUCCUACACUAUCUAAGUAUCUCUCCCCAAGGCCGAGCUCCAGGUGAAGAAAGUGGAAAAGAGAUGGAAAGAGUAAAAGAGGUCAAGCCCUUUCUCCUCGGAGCUUAAAUAGGGUCGAUGAUGGAGAUUACAUCCGGAUCCUGACAUGAUUUCAGAGUGUUUAGGAUUCCUGCCGUGGCUGGAGGUCUCACCCACAAAGGAAGUCCCUAUGUGUUCAUGCCCAAUCACAUCCAGAGACUUUGAGACCAUUGCCUACUUACAUUCCAAUUGCACUUGCCAGACCUCUCUAACGGACCCUUACUGUAGAGGUCUUCUGGGUUGCUACCUGAACUUCUUCUUCAUAAAACAGUAUAUAGUGUAGACUUUGGAGACAAAAAAAAAAUAAGUUCAAAUUUCUCCUUAGAUACUUGCUACACUCAUGCACACUGCAUGUGUGCACACACACACACAGAUAGACAGAGAUAGAGAAACAGAGAGAAAUAAAGAGA